GAUAUUUUCUAUUUAAACAAGUUUGAACCCAGACGACACUGAAAAUCGAAAAUUCACGCAUCUACCUAUCAUAUGAAGAUACGAAAUUAAAUUAGGAAGGUGGAAGGAUCUAAUGUUUACUAGAAGUGGUGCGGUCGGAUGAAAACAGCAAACAGAAAGUAGAAAAAGGAAGUUUUGACUUCGAGUUGAUGAAUCGGACGCGAAUUUGGAGAAAGUGGUACACCAAGAGCUUCACAUUUUAAAACAGCUGAUUCUCCAGGUCUAUGAUUAAUUCUAUCUGCAGUGGAGUGAAUUCUAGCAGGAAAAUUUCUCUGGAAG